CCUACGGGUGGCAGCAGUGAGGAAUAUUGGUCAAUGGGCGGGAGCCUGAACCAGCCAAGUCGCGUGCAGGACGACGGUCCUAUGGAUUGUAAACCGCUUUUGUCGGGGGACAAACGCGCCUACGGGUAUGCGGAUGAGUGUACCCUACGAAUAAGCAUCGGCUAACUCCGUGCCAGCAGCCGCGGUAAUACGGAGGAUUCGAGCGUUAUCCGGAUUUAUUGGGUUUAAAGGGUGCGUAGGCGGACAGUAAAGUAAGCGGUAAAAUCGCGGUGCUCAACGCCGUAUAGCCGUUGAUACUGGUAGUCUUGAGUGGGUGAGAAGUAGGCGGAAUGUGUGGUGUAGCGGUGAAAUGCAUAGAGAUCACGCAGAACACCGAUUGCGAAGGCAGCAUACCG
rnacentral:rRNA from 1 species